rnacentral:rRNA from 1 species
AAGCGCUUGCAACCAGACUUGACGGCGGCGUUCCUCCGGUCUUCUGACCGGUCCACUCGUCGCCGGCAGGCCAGCAUCGUCUGGGACCGCCGGAGAAAGGCUUGGGGAAUGUGGCUCCUCCGGGAGUGUUAUAGCCCCUCGCAUAAUACGGCGCGCCCCGGGCGAGGUCCGCGCUUCGGCUAGGAUGCUGGCGUAAUGGUCGUAAGC